rnacentral:rRNA from 1 species
UACGUAGGGUGCGAGCGUUAAUCGGAAUUACUGGGCGUAAAGUGUGCGCAGGCGGCCGCGCAAGUCGAGUGUGAAAGCCCCGGGCUUAACCUGGGAACUGCAUUUGUGACUGCAUAGCUGGAGUACGGUAGAGGGGGAUGGAAUUCCGCGUGUAGCAGUGAAAUGCGUAGAUAUGCGGAGGAACACCGAUGGCGAAGGCAGUCCCCUGGACCUGUACUGA